CAGUAGCCGCGGGAAUACCGAGGGUGCGAGCGUUAAUCGGAUUUACUGGGCGUAAAGCGUGCGUAGGCGGCUUCUUAAGUCGGAUGUGAAAUCCCUGAGCUUAACUUAGGAAUUGCAUUCGAUACUGGGAAGCUAGAGUAUGGGAGAGGAUGGUAGAAUUCCAGGUGUAGCGGUGAAAUGCGUAGAGAUCUGGAGGAAUACCGAUGGCGAAGGCAGCCAUCUGGCCUAAUACUGACGCUGAGGUACGAAAGCAUGGGGAGCAAACAGGAUUAGAUACCCGAGUAGUCCCUGUCUCUUAUAA
rnacentral:rRNA from 1 species